ACUCUAGGCAUUCCUGGCAGAGGAUACAGCAGGAGCAAAGGCCUGGAGGCUAAAAAUAGCUUGCGGGCAGGGGAGCUACCAGCAGUUCAGUGCUUCUGGAGUUUAAAGAGCCCGGCGAGGGUCAUGUCAGAUGACGCCGGUCCACGAGAAGGAGGGUGGAUUAUAUCCUUAGAGACGCCAUAGAGUGAGGAUAUAAUGGCUCUGUAACAAGCAUAAACUGUGAUGGUCUGGGAUGCCCUCGUCAUAGACAGCCCCUGGAGAGUCGUAAGUAGAGUGUGACAUAACCAGAUUUGUGCUUUAGAAAGGUUGCUGGUUGCAGAGCUGGUGGGAUGCGUUUUUAUUUGAAAAGGAUGGCAUGUAAUUAUCCCCUGCCUCAUAACAUAGGAAGUUAAGCUCUCCUUGUCCUGGAGGGAAGAGGAACCGAUACAGAAUUUCAGUGGCUCUGGACUCAAGGGCCACUAAGGUCAACUGUGAAAGGGUAAGAUUUGUUUUGGGGAGCGAGUAAACUGGCAUGGAGGAAUAAAGAAGGGCAAGAGAGAGGGGUGACUAGAGGAGCUCGCCUGCAUUCAGGGGGCUCUCAGAGGAGCCCUGGAAGCCUGGGUGUGGGCUUAGGAAGUCACUCAAGGAUGGAGAGGCAGUGGCGGAGCCAGCGGAGUCCCCCCACGAGGGCCUUGUUCAGGUGCGGAAGACAGCCUGUGGAUGCCUCCAGUUCUGCAAGAGCCUUCCCUGGCUGGCACCUGGGCUGAUGCAGCAGAUCCUCCUGUGGGUGCCGGAGGGUCUUCAGCCCUGAUGUUGAAGCAUCACAGAAGCUGCACUCUGGGACCUGAGACCAGGCCGGCUCUGUCUGAUGACUCAGUCAACAUUCAGGGCCUACAACCACUGACCUCCCACCAAGACACACACAAGGAACUCGCGCUCUGACCCAGGGGUACAGCUCACCCUUUCACGCGUGCAGGCCUGGGCUUCCAGAGGCUUCCCAGUGUGCCUGCCCGAGGUCACAUCUCCAGCAGGGGCAGCCCUGGGUUGGGAACACGGGCCUCUGAUUCCAAGCGAGCUCCUCCAUUCCUGGCGGCUUCAGGAGAGCUCCUGGGGGUGCUCCGAGGCUUGUUCUCCUCUUCUGUCUGGAUGAAUAAGAUUCUGGAGAAUCAAAGACAAGAGGCCUGCAAUUAAAUUCUAUUUUAAACAAGAAAUGAAGACACUGCUUAAAAUAAGUUCUGUGGAGAUAUGUGAAAUGUAAUGUUAAUGAAGGUAUUGGGUAUUUACUGAGAGCCAAAUACUGUUGUAAGCUUGUUACAAGGUCCUGUAUCCUCAAUCCUUAAAACAACUCCCUUACAUUGGCUCUGGAGAGGAAGCCAGAUGGCUGCUGGCUUUUUCCUUACAAAGCAACACCUCCAGACACCUGGUUUGUGGCUCGGGAUGCCAGAAAAUGGUGCUCCUUUUGCACAUUGGUAACUAUUUCCAUGUAGAAUACUUCUGGAAACUGGAGAUCAUCAACAGGUUCUGCAAACAAAGCCCAGAG
rnacentral:lncRNA from 1 species